AAUGAAGUGCCUGAUUAAAGGAAUAUCGUGAUAGGAUAUUUAAUGUGUUUAUCUACACCUUCAUUA
rnacentral:tRNA from 1 species